AUUGAGACACUGGUUUCUGUGCGAUCAGCAAAGUUAAGCAACGUUGAGCCUGGUCAGUACCUAGAUGAGUGACUGCUUGGGAAUACCAGGUGCUGUAAG